ACCAGAAACAUGCCAUAAUGAUGAAAAUCUGGAAAAUUUACAUUAGUAACAAGAGGAGGAAAUUCGUGCCACUGCUUACUGAAUCAAGGGCCGAAGCAAACACGCAGUGAAUACAUAAAACUGUUAGUACUGAGAAAAAACUUAACCAAAGUUUGUAAUUCUAUCAAUAAAGAAAUAAUGCAAACUGACGUCGAAUGGAUGAAUUUAACCACACUGUCUAAAACUUUAGAAAAAACGGAGAAACCAGAAACGAGUCCGGAUUCUGUCUUUGAGGGAAAACCGCACGAAGUACCUGAUGAAAAACACCAAGCAGGUUUACCCAAAUUAGACUUAAACCCCGCAGUAGUAAUCAAACAGGAUAUAGAUGAGGAAUUUGAUAGUGACUGAAAAAGGGGAAAAACCGGGAAAGUAAUUUUAACAAAACUGAAGACGUGGCUGCCGCAUUUCACUGGAAGGGGACGAAAAUAGACAUAUAGAAAAUAAACACACAGUAGUCAUUCUAUAUACAGUAUAUUAUUGUAAAUUACUCUAAUAUGUGGCUCAGUCGAAAAUAAACAAUUGUGAUGUUGCUU